UUACUUUUGAAAAUUUCACAAUUUCACUAACAAUAGGAAACAACAUGCAAGAGCAAGAGGAGAAACUAGAGAAAACCAAUUCGCGCGGAAGAGUGAAGCUUCAAUUUGUUUAGUUUUCUUCUUCCACUGAAUCCCAUAGCGAGAGGGAAGCACACGUCAGCUUCUCGCAAGCUUGGUAGGAAGAACAAACCACCGCACGCAUCCACUUCCGCGCCAAAAUCACCACAAUCUCAAUCGUUUGAUUAAAGUAUCUUACAGUAACACUCAGAAUAUUUGUUUCAGCCUCCUCCACUUCUCGCGCCUCUUCUGCAGGUAUUCCUAACUCCAAAUCCUCUCUCGCUAUUUGAAUUCAAUUCAAUUGUUUGGUGCUAAUGCUCAAUUUGCAUGUGCUGGUAAUUGACCACUGAUUAGUGAUUAGUGAUCACACUCCGUUCGAAGUAACGGAGACCUCAACAGUUAGUUAGUUACUGUAUUAUGGUUUUUCUA